rnacentral:rRNA from 1 species
ACGUAGGUGGCGAGCGUUAUCCGGAUUUACUGGGUGUAAAGCGCGUGCAGGCGGUGGCGUAAGGGACGUGUGAAAGCACCCGGCUUAACCGGGGGAGGCCGCGUCCGACUGCGCGACUGGAGGUGGGUAGAGGCGUGUGGAAUUCCGGGUGUAGUGGUGGAAUGCGUAGAGAUCCGGAGGAACACCAGAGGCGAAGGCGGCACCCUGGACGACACCAGACGCUGAGACGCGACAGCGCGGGGAGCGAACGG